rnacentral:rRNA from 1 species
GACGAACGCUGGCGGCGUGCUUAACACAUGCAAGUCGAACGGUGAAGCGCCUUCCUUUUUGGUGGGUGUGGAUGAGUGGCGAACGGGUGAGUAACACGUGAGUAACCUGCCCCCUUCUUCUGGAUAACCGCAUGAAAGUGUGGCUAAUACGGGAUAUUCUGGGUCUGUCGCAUGAUGGGUCUGGGAAAGAUAUUGUUUCGGUGGGGGAUGGGCUCGCGGCCUAUCAGCUUGUUGGUGGGGUGAUGGCCUACCAAGGCGGUGACGGGUAGCCGGCCUGAGAGGGUGGACGGACACACUGGGACUGAGACACGGCCCAGACUCCUACGGGAGGCAGCAGUGGGGAAUAUUGCACAAUGGGCGCAAGCCUGAUGCAGCGACGCCGCGUGAGGGAUGGAGGCCUUCGGGUUGUGAACCUCUUUCGCCAGUGAAGCAGGCCUGCCUCGUUUGUGGGUGGGUUGACGGUAGCUGGAUAAGAAGCGCCGGCUAACUACGU